CCUACGGGAGGCAGCAGUGAGGAAUAUUGGUCAAUGGACGAGAGUCUGAACCAGCCAAGUAGCGUGAAGGAUGACUGCCCUAUGGGUUGUAAACUUCUUUUAUAUGGGAAUAAAAUGUUCCACGUGUGGGAUUUUGUAUGUACCCUAUGAAUAAGGAUCGGCUAACUCCGUGCCAGCAGCCGCGGUAAUACGGAGGAUCCGAGCGUUAUCCGGAUUUAUUGGGUUUAAAGGGAGCGUAGGUGGAGUGUUAAGUCAGUUGUGAAAGUUUGCGGCUCAACCGUAAAAUUGCAGUUGAAACUGGCAGUCUUGAGUACAGUAGAGGUGGGCGGAAUUCGUGGUGUAGCGGUGAAAUGCUUAGAUAUCACGAAGAACUCCGAUUGCGAAGGCAGUUCACUGGACUGCAACUGACACUGAGGCUCGAAAGUGUGGGUAUCAAACAGGAUUAGAUACCCGGGUAGUC
rnacentral:rRNA from 1 species